rnacentral:rRNA from 1 species
GCAUAUCAAUAAGCGGAGGAAAAGAAACUAACAAGGAUUCCCUUAGUAACGGCGAGUGAAGAGGGAAGAGCUCAAAUUUUAAAUCUAUCAUGUUUGUACAUGAUCGAGUUGUAAUUUGAAGAAGCGUUUUCUCGUACUUUAUGCAAUCAGUAUAAGUUCUCUUGGAACAGGACAUCAUAGAGGGUGAUAAUCCCGUCUGUUACUGGUUGUGAGGUUCGUUAUGAUACGCUUUCAAAGAGUCGAGUUGUUUGGGAUUGCAGCUCCAAAUGGGUGGUAAACAUCACCUAAGGCUAAAUAUUUGCGAGAGACCGAUAGCGAACAAGUACCGUGAGGGGAAGAUGAAAAGAACUUUGAAAAGAGAGUUAAAAAGUAUGUGAAAUUGUUGAAAGGGAAACGAUUGAAGUCAGUCGUGCAGUCAUCAAUUCAGCGGUUAACAUUUUAUGUUUCCGUGUAAUUUGGUGUCUGUUGGUUAGCAUCAAUUUUGAUUGUUAUAAAAAGGUUAAGGGGAUGUGGCUCCUUCGGGAGUGUUAUAACCCUUAGCGUAAUGUGACGAUUAGGAUUGAGGUUUGCAACGAAUACCUUUUAGGGCAGUUUCGCUGGCCUCUCGCAGAAGCAUAGAGGGUAAGAGCAUGCUCUUACUUUCUAUGCGUUCUGCGAAAAGGUUGGAUGAAAUUAAUUCGUUAAGGAUGUUGACGUA